AAAUCCUGCCAGAAACACCGCUGCCCUCUUUCUUCUCCGCUCAAUCCAUCUCAUCCUAAACCAAAUCCACCACCACUGCUGUCAUCCCCUCCUCUUUCGACGCCCACAGCCACCGCCGUAAACCUCACAACGCCACAACCCCUUGUUCUUUUAGAAAUUCCGAAAAUCCCAUUGCGCCACCGCCCCAAAUCCUGCCAGAAACACCGCUGCCCUCUACAGUCACGAGAAAUUUCUAGUAAUAAGGAAAAAAUUUAGCCACAUGUAACUGGUAAACCUAGCUCAAUUCGUUGUCUACCUUUCCUUUUCUGGGUUUUCUCCAGUUGCAUACAUGGCUGCACCAUCCCCAGCCCUAACUAGUAACAGCUCUGACGCCGUUCAUACUGCCGCCCCCGCCACCACCACCACCACCACGGCCGCCGCCAUUGUGCCUUCGCACCGUACGGACGGGCCACCGAAGACACUCCGUGGUCUUAACAAACCCAAGUGUAUUCAGUGCGGCAAUGUCGCUCGCUCCAGGUGUCCCUACCAGUCAUGCAAAAGUUGCUGCUCAAAAGCUCAAAAUCCAUGCCAUAUUCACGUUUUGAAAGCAAAUGCGACUUUUCCAGAGAAGGCACCGGCUUCAAGCACUACUCUUUUUGAUCAUCAGUCAACUGAAGCGUCUCCUGCAUCGAGUUCACUAAGGGUUGCAUCACUUCGACAACUUUCUAACAAUUUUUCUCAAUUCAACAAUUUGCAUGCUUCCCGAUCAAGGAAGCCAUUAACCAGAAAGGAAGCUGCAGCUAUAAAUGAAUGGAGGUUUUCCAAGCUAAAGGAAUACAGGGAAAGAAACAUUGAAGUCGAAAAUGAAGCUUUUGGCCGGUACAUGCAGAAUAUUAACUUAUUGGAGGAGGUAUUUUCUGUGAAGUCUAUUUUAGAGAGCUCCGAAAAAGGAUCCACAGAGGACACUUCCGUUUCAUCGAAUCCCAACAAUGCUUCUGCAGAAGUUGACACAGAAAAGUUGAUGGCAGGGCAGAAGUUGAAGCUUAGGUCGAGUCCUACAAAAAGUGAGAAUGUUCGAAAAAGGAUACAAGAAAUUGUUGAUGCGGGUUUAAAGAAGCUUCAGAAACGUGAGUUUAAUGAUGGUGUUAACCUGAAUGGUGAUGAUGAGCUUGAUAAAAGGUCAGAAAAGGCAAAAAGUUUGCGGGCUGACAGGGCUUCAGCUUUAAAUGAUCUUAUUGAGAAAUUGAACAAAGCCCGAAAUGAAGAGGAUCUAACAUCUUGCCUGGACAUGAAAGCCCAGCUGUACAGUCACCAUGGUCAAACAGAAACCAGAGAUGUGGAGGUAUCCAUUGAAGGGAGUGCCAUUAAUAACUUGGCACCUACAAAAGAAUUGGAUUAUCUUUCGCAAAAAUUGUUUAGAACGGUGGAAAUUGAUCAGGAAUCUCUCAACAGCGUUAGUGCACAUUUCUCUUCCCUACAAAAAAUAGCAAAUUUAUGAUAUGUGAUUGGAUAUCCCAUAGAUAAUGUGAGUUUAGAUCAAGUUUAACUAGAAUAUUUUGAGUUUGUGCUAGAAUACUGUGAUCCAACCUCAUUACUAUCAUCCUUCGAUGCAAUCAACCCAUUGUAGAAUGCUUAAUUUGAAAAUUGUCCCCAAUUUCUUCAUCCUUAAACUGUGAUUGCUCAGUUCAAUGUGAAAAGGCUAUGGCAUGGUUUGUUUCUAUUUUGUUGUAAAAUUGAUCAAUCUCAAUAUUUGUUACAUGUUUCCUA
rnacentral:misc_RNA from 1 species